rnacentral:hammerhead_ribozyme from 1 species
AUCCAGCUGAGGAGUCCCAAAUAGGACGAAACACGCGUCCUUGAU